rnacentral:rRNA from 1 species
UGGGGAAUUUUGGACAAUGGGCGCAAGCCUGAUCCAGCAAUGCCGCGUGAGUGAAGAAGGCCUUCGGGUUGUAAAGCUCUUUUGUCAGGGAAGAAACGGUAUCUCCUAAUACGGGGUGCUAAUGACGGUACCUGAAGAAUAAGCACCGGCUAACUACGUGCCAGCAGCCGCGGUAAUACGUAGGGUGCAAGCGUUAAUCGGAAUUACUGGGCGUAAAGCGUGCGCAGGCGGUUAUAUAAGUCAGAUGUGAAAUCCCCGGGCUCAACCUGGGAACUGCAUUUGAGACUGUAUGGCUAGAGUGUGUCAGAGGGGGGUAGAAUUCCACGUGUAGCAGUGAAAUGCGUAGAUAUGUGGAGGAAUACCGAUGGCGAAGGCAGCCCCCUGGGAUAACACUGACGCUCAUGCACGAAAGCGUGGGGAGCAAACAGGAUUAGAUACCCCCGUAGUCCCUGAGCGGGCUGGCAAGGCGCAU